ACCAGGAUAGCUCAGUUGUUAGAGCAUGAGAUGCUUAAUCCCAGGGUUGUGGGUUCAAGCCCCACGGUCGGUG